rnacentral:rRNA from 1 species
AAAAACAUGUCCUUUUGUUGAAAAUAUAAGGUCUAACCUGCCCAAUGAUUUAAUUUAAUGGCCGCGGUAUAUUAACUGUGCUAAGGUAGCAUAAUCAUUUGUCUUUUAAUUGAAGGCUAGAAUGAAUGGUUGGACGAAGCAUAUUCUUUCUUUAAUUUAAUUUAUGAAUUUAAUUUUUUAGUUAAAAAGCUAAAAUGUAUUUGAGGGACGAGAAGACCCUAUAGAUCUUUAUAUUUUUAACUUUUAUUUAUUAUGGUAAUAUAAAUUAUUGUAAUAGUUUAAAGUAUUUGGUUGGGGUGACUGUAGAAUAAAAUCAACUUCUGUUUUUAUUUUUCAUUAAUUUAUGUAAUUUUGAUCCAGAUUAUCUGAUUAAAAGAUUAAGUUACCUUAGGGAUAACAGCGUAAUUCCUUUGGAGAGCUCAUAUCGAUAAAGGAGUUUGCGACCUCGAUGUUGGAUUAAAAUAAGUGUUAGGUGUAGAAGCUUAAAAACUAGGUCUGUUCGACCUUUAAUUUUUUACAUGAUCUGAGU